ACCAGCACGCUGGAAACAGCCCUCCAAGCCACUCUGAACAGCUCAGGAGGCAGCGGCUGCCUCCCCUCCCUCCUUUCCCCUCCUCCUCCUCCCUCCCUCCUCCCUCCCCUUCCUCCUCCUCCUCCCUCCCUUCCUUCUUUCUCUCCUGUGCUCUUCUUUCCAAGCAUUCUACUCCCAUUUCCUCCUCCCCGUCUUUGCUUAUUCCGUCCCUGCCUGCCUCCACCAGCAGUUCACUACGUAAAAUAGAAGCCUGAGCCGUGCUGGGCCCAGGGGGUGCCCUGGACAGCAUACUCUCGCCCGUGGAGGAAUAGGAGAGGGAGGCAGGUUGGCAUCACUGAAAUAAAGGCAGAGUGUCCCAGCUUUGGAUCCUGGCCCAGCCGCUUCCUAGGGGGAGAUCUUGGAGGCAGAGAGACAGAUGGGAAUUCACUGUGUUCACUCCCCAAAUGCCCACAACCAGGAAUGCAACCAGGGACCCAGGAAAACCAUCCAGAUCCUCCACAUGGGCAGAAAGAACCCCGUCACUUGGGCUCUCGUUUCUUCCUCCUGAGUCCGAAGUAGCAGGACACCAGAACCAGGAGCCGGAACUGGGGAUUGAACCCAGGGAAGACCACCAGCAUGCUGAAAGACUAGUGAAUAGCAACAAGGAAAUAAAAUAGGCCGUGUAACUUCCUGGGAUUCAGCAGCACUCCUUACAUUUAUGUCUUUGUCACACAUUUUUCUCAUUAUACUUGCAGAAGGCUUUAUACAUCCUAUCUGCACGGCUGUGUUCAAGACAUUCGCCCUACCUGGACUUCUCCUGUUAUUCUUGUGCACUCAGCCCAUCUCCAUCGGUUCACUUUUGAAAUUGGAAUCUCGUUUGCCUGUUGAGCUCUGCCUCACCUCCUGCAGCUGGCAACUGCCCCUUCUGAACUCCUCACUGAAGCUAUCUGUGAACAAGCCUUUGUCUUUGCCUCCCUGAUUUCUUCCCCAGCUUCCAAAGCUGAGACUCGGCGGAUGCCUGAACAGCAGAGUAAACGCUCCCUCAAUAUGAGCCAAAUAGGAGCCCCAGCUGUGUGCUCGCCAUGGAGACCUGUGCCCAGGCCCUGGCCUCUGCCAGGUAUUUCCAUGGUACCACGUAUGUCUGAUGAAGCCACUUCCCUUGGAUUCCUUAGGAAAACAUCCCAGGCAUGUAUGAUCAAGGUCACCACCCUGGGCAGAGGAGGGUCCAACUGAAGUUACAUUUCUACCCUCAAGCACCACGAAGUUGAAGUGCAAAUAGGGCGUGGCUCAGAAAUAAGAGGAGAUUGUGGUGCGAAUGCCAGCAGUUUAGAGCAUGGGGCCCCUUGCCCUUCAUGCAGCCAAAGGGCACUGCCCACGCUCUAUGGGACCGUUGUUAAGGGCCGGAGGGUGUCAAAGCAAAGUUCACAUUUCCAUGGAAGGCCCAGGGCCACAGGCGAGGUCAGGCGUGUCUGUGGGGCCUUUGUCUGCUGGCUCUUUGUUGAAACCCACAUGUGGCCCCAUUUUGUUCCCGAGAGCUCUGCGUGUGUUUCUGGGUGGACGGGGACGCUGCGCAGCUGGGCCCUGAGUCAUGGUUCCGGCCUUCGCCGAGCUCGGCUGAGGAGCUGCUUCAGGCAGGCUUGCGUUCUGUUCUCAGUUUCCAAUUUGGCAAAGAAAAUUGCAUGUUCAUCUCAUCAAGGCCCGGGAGAGCGCAGGGCGUUGCCCCCAAAUGCCUCUCCCUUCCCACAUGUGUAAGUCACGAAGGGAAAGUCCUGACUCUGUUCUCUGAUACCAAUUCCCAGCUCAGGUCAAUGCCAACCUGGUGCCUGGCACAUAGGUGUUAUUUUGCAACUUUUAAUUACAUAUGACUCCAACCAAGUUCAAAGAAUAUACGAGAAGAUUGAAAGCACCUAAAAAGGCCCUUAUCAUUCAGCUUCCACAGUAUUGUGAACUGUAUUGUUCUAUGCACACCCCCACUCACUUCCUCUACGCUACCUGCAUUAUUUUGAAGCAAAUUCCACACAUUUAAUGUCCUCUGUAAACAGUUCUGUACAAAUCUCUAAAAGAUGACUCCUGUUUUCUAAACAUGAGACAUCGUUAGUACAUCUUAAUAUCAUCAAACACUAUGCUGGUGUUCAAAAUUUUAACUAGUCUGAUAGAGGUUAUCAUUAAGUAUUUUUUCUUAUUUGGUCCAGGACCCAAAUAAGGCCCACCUAUUGUGCUGGUUGCUAUGUCUCAUCAUGUUUCUUUUCAUCUGUAUAGAUUUCUUUUCUCUCUCUCUCCCUUGCUCUCUCUCUCUCCCUUGCUCUCUCUCUCUUUUCCCUUAAUGAAAUCAGGUUGUUGGCUGUGUAGAAUUUUUCCAUCUGGAAUUUUUUGACUAAGUCCCUGUGGUGUUAUUUUACAUGUUCCUUUAUUAUCCACUAUUUUUUCCCUGUAAAUUGAUAGUUGGAUUGUGGCCAUGAUAAACUUCAAGUUUGAUUUA